CUCGUCUCUAACAGAAAUGUAGGCCACACCAUGCCUCAUCCACCAGUUAUCCUUAUCUUACGAUCGACACUCUUCUCCAUCUUCCUCUAAUACUACUUCGGUCACCUUCUACGGCCACCCCAUAUCUCUCCAUCUCUCUUGCCCUCUGUAUCGGUGUUACACUAGUAAAACCUAAACCCACAUUUGAUUUCUCAAUAGUGUAUAACCCUCACCUAGAACAAACCCUAAAUCACUUAGUUAAAUCGAUUUCUUUUUUAAUCACUUAGAAAUCGCCAUCAUGAUGACAACAUGCUCGAUUUCUAGAUGCUCAAUCGUUGUCACAGUGAAUAGCAAAUCUUAGGGUUAUGGUGUUGGAUAUCUGGUGAGAGGGAGGGGGGAUGAAGGAUGGAUAACGGGGGUGGGACAAGAGAUGAUGGCGUUAGUGGUGAUGAAGGUGUCAUCUCCGGUAAGAAUCGUAAGUGAAUCGGAAAUUGAGUAACCAUUAACCAAUAAUGAGAUGAUAUCUCUUCUAGAAUGAACAAAUGAUGAAACCCAUACUCAGAUUCAAACCUAUUCCAGAAAAUUGUGUCUGAAGUUCUUGUAACAUGAUGAACCAGAAUUGAGUAACCAUUGACCAACAAUGGAGACGGUGUCUCUUCUAAAUGCACAUAAGAGAAGUCAACCAUGUCAUUAUCUCCCCUUCUUCGACCAGUGGUUUUAAUGAAGGAAGAAGGAGGAUUUUUUUAGAAACACACUUAAACACCAUCAACUCCACCGGAUCAUCAAAUUUGCAUUUAUUCCGUUCACCGGAGAAGAUAACAACAACCAGAAGAAGGUAUGGUCCAAUUCACCUACGAUGUGGUUAUUCUCUUCAUUGGAGAGGUUAACAACAAAAAGAAGAAAUGUUAUGCUUUGUGAGUUGUCCGUUCUGAAACUCUGACGUUGCUUUGAUUCCAAACCCAUAUCAGAAACUCCAAUCUGAAACUCAUAUCUGAAAUUAAGGAGAGUAUUAUCCUCAAUGUUUUAAAACCUUGGUUUUUAGUCGAUCCGGUGUAAUGACCGGUUCACGGGUCGACCGGUUGAACCGCUGGUCAACCUAGUUUAUGAUCUUUUUCUAUUUCUAUA